rnacentral:rRNA from 1 species
UACGAAGGGGGCUAGCGUUGCUCGGAAUUACUGGGCGUAAAGCGCACGUAGGCGGAUUGUUAAGUCGGGGGUGAAAUCCUGGAGCUCAACUCCAGAACUGCCUUCGAUACUGGCGAUCUCGAGUCCGGGAGAGGUGAGUGGAACUGCGAGUGUAGAGGUGAAAUUCGUAGAUAUUCGCAAGAACACCAGUGGCGAAGGCGGCUCACUGGCCCGGUACUGACGCUGAGGUGCGAAAAGCGUGGGGGAGCAAACAGG